rnacentral:rRNA from 1 species
GGAGGGUGCGAACGUUGCUCGGAAUUAUUGGGCGUAAAGCGCGUGUAGGCGGUUUGUUAAGUCUCGUGUGAAAGCCCUCGGCUCAACCGAGGAACUGCGCUAGAAACUGGCAAGCUAGAGUACGGGAGAGGGUAGCGGAAUUCCCGGUGUAGAGGUGAAAUUCGUAGAUAUCGGGAGGAACACCAGUGGCGAAGGCGGCUACCUGGACCGAUACUGACGCUGAGACGCGAAAGCGUGGGUAGCAAACAGGAUUAGAUACCCUGGUAGUCCACGCCGUAAACGAUGAGUGCUAGAUGUCGCGGGUUUUGACCCCCUGCGGUGUCGUAGCUAACGCGUUAAGCACUCCGCCUGGGGGAGUACGGCCGCAAGGCUA